rnacentral:rRNA from 1 species
GACGAACGCUGGCGGCGUGCUUAACACAUGCAAGUCGAACGGACAGGCCCUGCUUUUGUGGGGUGCUCGAGUGGCGAACGGGUGAGUAACACGUGAGUAACCUGCCCUUGACUUUGUGAUAACUUCAGGAAACUGGGGCUAAUACCGGAUAGGAGCUCCUGCUGCAUGGUGGGGGUUGGAAAGUUUCGGCGGUUGGGGAUGGACUCGCGGCUUAUCCGCUUGUUUGUGGGGUAGUGGCUUACCAAGGCUUUGACGGGUAGCCGGCCUGAGAGGGUGACCGGCCACAUUGGGACUGAGAGACGGCCCAGACUCCUACGGGAGGCAGCAGGGGGGAAUAUUGCACAAUGGGCGGAAGCCUGAUGCAGCAACGCCGCGUGCGGGAUGACGGCCUUCGGGUUGUAAACCGCUUUCGCCUGUGACGAAGCGUGAGUGACGGUAAUGGGUAAAGAAGCACCGGCUAACUACGUG